CCUACGGGUGGCAGCAGUGAGGAAUAUUGGUCAAUGGACGAGAGUCUGAACCAGCCAAGUAGCGUGAAGGAUGACUGCCCUAUGGGUUGUAAACUUCUUUUAUAAAGGAAUAAAACGAGGCACGUGUGCCUUUUUGCAUGUACUCUAUGAAUAAGGAUCGGCUAACUCCGUGCCAGCAGCCGCGGUAAUACGGUGGAUCCGAGCGUUAUCCGGAUUCAUUGGGUUUAAAGGUAGCGUAGAUGGGUUGUUAAGUCAGUUGUGAAAGGUUGCGGCUCAACCGUAAAAUUGCAAUUGAUACUGGCAGACUUGAGUACAGUUGAGGUAGGCGGAAUUCGUGGUGUAGCAGUGAAAUGCUUAGAUAUCACGAAGAACCCCGGUUGCGAAGGCAGGUUACUAAACUGUGACUGACAUUGAUGCUCGAAGGUGAGGGUAUCAAACGGGAUUAGAUACCCUAGUAGUC
rnacentral:rRNA from 1 species